rnacentral:lncRNA from 1 species
CCAGCUACUAGAGGACGCCCGUUCCAAUGGCAACUCUGCCAAGGCGCCUAUGAGAGCCUCUUGGCUUUUACCUGGUCUGCGAGAAAUCAAACUUUGGGCACAAGUCAUGAAGCCGACAAGCCCGGGAGACACAGUGUCAGAAUUACAAGGUGAGAUCAGCCGCCCGGCCAAGCUAUCUUCUCGCUAGCAGAUGAAGCUGCUUUGGUGGAAGGUGCUAAAAAGCUGGGCUUUGUACAGUGAGAACACCAUAUUCGGUCAUCAUAGAAGCAAUAGAGCUUUGGAGCCAAACCCUUCUGAUGAUCCAAGGGCAAGCACAGUCUUCUUGCAAAAAUCUCAAACAGAUGGUGAGACGACACUGUUUUUUCCACCAAGAAGACGACUGAAAACUCUCUGUCAUAAUGAGUGUAUUAUAGAAAGCAUUUAGAGAAACUUACAUUGGUUUAAAAUUUUCAACUUUUCAUAUAUUCACUUGUCCUAUUUUAAUGUGUGAAAUACUUCUCUUUAGUUGUUACUGUGUGAGUGAAAACAUGUAAACUUUCUGUUUAUACAUUUUGCUACCUUUUGGCAACACCAUUUGUCAUGUGAUUUAAGAGUAGUCAUAGAUUUAUCUUUAUUCAUAAUUUUUUAUUCAUAUUUUUUGUCUUUCGCCCUUUUUCCCUUGCUCCAAAGAGUUCAUUUUAAUGAUGAAUGAUAGAAUUUAGGCUUCAGCUUGAUCUUUAUUUAAACAAAUAAAAAAACCAUUUGUUCAUCAAUGGGGAUUGAAUUUGUGAUUUCAGCCUCCUCUUAUACAGUGCUUUAACCAUAUGAGCUUAUCACAUCCAAGUUUAUGCUACUCAAAACUUUUAAGCUAUUAAACUUUUCCUGCUAAUGUAAUAUAAAUUUAAACAUCCAGUACUCCUGCUUAUAUUUUAAAUGUUAUGGUAAAUCCUAGUUUAUUUGAUUAAAAAGCCAUAUACAACCAA